UGAGUGUCAAGAGAAAAAAUACCUUGAUCACUCAGGUGCCCUCUCCUCAGUUUUUCUCUGUCCAGGCUUGAAGAACUAUAACCAUUUCCAAGUUCUAAAAGGACAGGUGGGGGAGUUAUUUGUUUGUUUAUUUGUUUGUUUUGAUUUCAGAAAGAUGUGAACUCCAGGAUCUCUUGAGAGACUGCCAGAGCCAGCAGCCCCAAGGAUACUUCGAACAGUGGGCACUGGUGCAAUUCUAUAAAAAGAAACCAGAAACCAUUUAGAUGUGUGUCAGGAAGAAGCACUUCCAGAUGCUUGAGGAAAGAUGCAAGAUAGCAAGGUGGGAAUCUGAGAAACAAGGAGUUUAAGGAUUUUGCCAUAAGUCACCUAGAAGACGCAGGGUGAGGAAGGGAUUUGAACCUGAGCAUACUGACUCCAGAGCCCUCUUAGCUGCUCCGUGGAGCAGGGGCUUUCUGCAAAGUAGAGGUUCUGAUCAUCUACUGUUGCAUAAUAAACCAAAAUUUAGUGGUUUAAAAAACGCAUCAUUUGUUCUGCUA
rnacentral:lncRNA from 1 species